AUUGAACGCUGGCGGCAUGCCUUACACAUGCAAGUCGAACGGCAGCACGGGAGCUUGCUCCUGGUGGCGAGUGGCGAACGGGUGAGUAAUGCAUCGGAACGUGCCCUGAAGUGGGGGAUAACGUAGCGAAAGUUACGCUAAUACCGCAUAUUCUGUGAGCAGGAAAGCAGGGGAUCUUCGGACCUUGCGCUUUUGGAGCGGCCGAUGUCGGAUUAGCUAGUUGGUGGGGUAAAGGCCCACCAAGGCGACGAUCCGUAGCGGGUCUGAGAGGAUGAUCCGCCACACUGGAACUGAGACACGGUCCAGACUCCUACGGGAGGCAGCAGUGGGGAAUUUUGGACAAUGGGCGCAAGCCUGAUCCAGCCAUGCCGCGUGAGUGAAGAAGGCCUGG
rnacentral:rRNA from 1 species